rnacentral:rRNA from 1 species
UACGAAGGGGGCUAGCGUUGUUCGGAAUCACUGGGCGUAAAGGGCGCGUAGGCGGCUUUAUAAGUCGGGGGUGAAAGCCUGUGGCUCAACCACAGAAUUGCCUUCGAUACUGUAGAGCUUGAGACCGGAAGAGGUAAGUGGAACUGCGAGUGUAGAGGUGAAAAUUCGUAGAUAUUCGGCGGGAACACCAGUGGCGAAGGCGACUCACUGGCCCCGAUACUGACGCUGAGGCGCGAAAAGCGUGGGGGAGCAAACAGGG